CUGAAGAGGAAAUGGAAAAACUCAUGUCAGAGUCCCCAGAAAAAGUGUCAUUCAAAGGAACUGGCCCUUUACAAACUGACAAAGAUCUUAAUUCAACCAUUGAGACCAGAGCAGAUGAUAGUAACAAGAGCAUUGGAAAGAAAGUUAAGAAGAUGAAGAAGAGAAUAAAAGAACUGGACAAAAAGGCAACAAAAGGGAAAUCAAAAGAC